rnacentral:rRNA from 1 species
UACGUAGGGGGCAAGCGUUGUCCGGAUUUAUUGGGCGUAAAGAGCGUGUAGGCGGUUUGGUAGGUCCGUUGUGAAAACUCGAGGCUCAACCUCGAGACGCCGAUGGAAACCAUCAGACUAGAGUCCGGAAGAGGAGAGUGGAAUUCCUGGUGUAGCGGUGAAAUGCGCAUAUAUCAGGAAGAACACCCGUGGCUAAGGCGGCUCUCUAGUACGGUACUGACGCUGAGACGCGAAAGCGUGGGGAGCGAACAGG